CAAAACUACUGCCAAAUCUACACAGAUGCCUCCAAAACAACGAAAUCGCUACUGCACACACAGAAAACCACAAUCUUUACAAAUUUGCGUCUUUCUCCAGGAAAUACACUGCAAAAACGUUCGUAAUACUUGAAACCAUAUCCUACUCUCUCCACUCACAAGUCACAACUAACAAUGAACAAGUUUUCAUUCUAAAUGAUUUCAUGAGUACUAUGCCUUCAAUAUCAAAUAAAAUACCAAAUACAAACUCGCCCGAAGCAUCCAAAACAUUAUCUAUACAACUAAAAUAAUCAUCAAAGAUCAAAACACAUCUAAUGCGUAAGGAACCAAUAUCCAUGUCUGAAACGUGUUUCUACGUACUCUCCAUGGAACACAUUUUCUUAGAAUGUCCCAAUUUUAUAUUAUAAUAUUAACACGUCUAAGAAAAAAAUGUAUAAAUAAACCUCACUUCAAUCAAAGAAACAUUCGAACCCAGACAAGAAUUAGAGCUUAUCUAAGGUCUAACAUCUCUUUGUGUCCCGCUCGUACCGGGGCCGUCGUCUGUUGCUGGCGCGUCUGGUUCUCCCCAUGUUGUUGCGUUCCGUUUACGAGAUCGACGGCUAUUACGUCGCCCGCCGGAGUUUUUUCUGCAGUUUUGACUGUACCCAGUGUUUUUCUGCCUCGUUCGUUC